rnacentral:rRNA from 1 species
AUUGAACGCUGGCGGCAGGCCUAACACAUGCAAGUCGAGCGGAUGAAGGGAGAUUGCUACUGGAUUCAGCGGCGGACGAGUGAGUAAUGCCCAGGAAUCUGCCUGGUAGUGGGGGAUAACGUCCGGACAAGGGCGCUAAUAACGCAUAAGAACAGAGGGAGAAAGUGGGGGAUCUUCGGACCUCACGCUAUCAGCUGAGCCUAGGUCGGAGUAGCUAGUUGGUGGGGUAGAGGCCUACCAAGGCGACGAUCCGAAACUGGUCUGAGAGGAUGAUCAGUCACACUGGAACUGGGACUCGGUCCAGACUCCUACGGGAGGCAGCAGUGGGGAAUAUUGGACAAUGGGCGAAAGCCUGAUCCAGCCAUGCCGCGUGUGUGAAGAAGGUCUUCGGAUUGUAAAGCACUUUAAGUUUGGAGGAAGGGCAGUAAGUUAAUACCGUGCUGUUUUGACGUUACCAACUGAAUAAGCACCGGCUAACUUCGUG